UCUAAGUAUAGCAUCUAUACGGUGAAACUGCGAAUGGCUCAUUAAAUCAGUUAUCGUUUAUUUGAUAGUACCUUACUACUUGGAUAACCGUGGUAAUUCUAGAGCUAAUACAUGCUAAAAACCCCGACUUACGAAGGGGUGUAUUUAUUAGAUAAAAAACCAAUGCCCUUCGGGGCUCCUUGGUGAUUCAUAAUAACUUAACGAAUCGCAUGGCCUUGUGCCGGCGAUGGUUCAUUCAAAUUUCUGCCCUAUCAACUUUCGAUGGUAGAGUAGUGGUCUACCAUGGUUUCAACGGGUAACGGGGAAUUAGGGUUCUAUUCCGGAGAGGGAGCCUGAGAAACGGCUACCACAUCCAAGGAAGGCAGCAGGCGCGCAAAUUACCCAAUCCCGACACGGGGAGGUAGUGACAAUAAAUACUGAUACAGGGCUCUUUUGGGUCUUGUAAUUGGAAUGAGUACAAUUUAAAUCCCUUAACGAGGAACAAUUGGAGGGCAAGUCUGGUGCCAGCAGCCGCGGUAAUUCCAGCUCCAAUAGCGUAUAUUAAAGUUGUUGCAGUUAAAAAGCUCGUAGUUGAACCUUGGGCCUGGCUGGCCGGUCCGCCUCACCGCGUGCACUGGUCCGGCCGGGUCUUUCCUCCUGGGGAGCUGCAUGCCCUUCACUGGGUGUGUCAGGGAACCAGGACUUUUACUUUGAAAAAAUUAGAGUGUUCAAAGCAGGCCUAUGCUCGAAUACAUUAGCAUGGAAUAAUAGAAUAGGACGUGUGGUUCUAUUUUGUUGGUUUCUAGGACCGCCGUAAUGAUUAAUAGGGAUAGUCGGGGGCAUCAGUAUUCAAUUGUCAGAGGUGAAAUUCUUGGAUUUAUUGAAGACUAACUACUGCGAAAGCAUUUGCCAAGGAUGUUUUCAUUAAUCAGUGAACGAAAGUUAGGGGAUCGAAGACGAUCAGAUACCGUCGUAGUCUUAACCAUAAACUAUGCCGACU
rnacentral:rRNA from 1 species